rnacentral:rRNA from 1 species
GUGUUCGUUAUUAAGGGCGCAUGGUGGAUGCCUUGGCAUGCUGAGCCGAUGAAGGACGUGAAAGGCUGCGUUAAGCCUCGGGGAGUUGUCAAUUGAGCGUUGAUCCGAGGAU